rnacentral:rRNA from 1 species
GAUGAACGCUGGCGGCGUGCCUAAUACAUGCAAGUAGAACGCUGAAGGAGGAGCUUGCUCUUUCCGGAUGAGUUGCGAACGGGUGAGUAACGCGUAGGUAACCUGCCUGGUAGCGGGGGAUAACUAUUGGAAACGAUAGCUAAUACCGCAUAACAGUAGAUAUUGCAUGAUAUUUGCUUGAAAGGGGCAAUUGCUCCACUACCAGAUGGACCUGCGUUGUAUGAGCUAGUUGGUGAGGUAACGGAUCCCCAAGGCGACGAUACAUAGCCGACCUGAGAGGGUGAUCGGCCACACUGGGAGGGAGACACGCCCCAGACACCUACGGGAGGCAGCAGAAGGGCAUCUUCGGCAAUCGAGGGAAGACUGACCGAGCAACGCCGCGCGAGUGAAGAAGGUUUUCGGAUCGUAAAACUCUGGUGUAAGAGAAGAACGAGUGUGAGAGUGGAAAGUUCACACUGUGACGGUAUCUCACCAGAAAGGGACGGCUAACUACGUG